GCUCCGCCUUUUCGGUCCUGGGAACCCGCGCCCCCUGCCGGUGCCCUCCCCGCCCGGCCCUAGCUCUCUCGCCUUCUCGCCCGCCCGGCGCUGGCCCUGCUGGAUCCUGCGCGCCGGGGACUGGGGGCUGGCAGUGCAGACCGAACCCGGGGCCGAGGGGCUUCUCCACAGAGCCGCCUGGGGCUCGGUGGGGGGCGCUCAGCUCGACCCCAGCUAAGGGAGCACUAGGAAGUGCGGGCGUCCCCUUCCCUGCACCCUUGCGGGGCGGGAACCGUCGACCUAGAAGAAAAAAAAAGCUGAGGCAAACUUGAUAUAAGUAGAGAGGUUAUUUGGGCCAAGUUUGAAGAUUGCAACCCGGGAGCAUAGCUUCAAGUUGCCCUGAACAUAGGAUUUGCAACAGUGACAAAGGUGAGGCCAGAGAAGUGACAAGACAGAUGCCAGUCCAGCAGGUGGGCAUGUCCAGAAAGUGCAGCCUCAGGACACGGUCUGGGAACAAAGACUGCUGGAGAGUUGGAAGCUGGCAAGAGGCUCUCAGCUGUGAAGUACCUGGGGUGGGGGAGAAGUGGUCGGAGAAAGCAGAGAACACAAUUGAAGGCACUGGUUAUUCUAGCAAGGCUUUGACUGGAAUGGCAUAUUUUCAGAUAUGACCAGACUGCUCUGAGGAAUUCAGGUUGGCUUUAUAGAGUCAAUAAAAAGCUACCUGGAAAGAGUGGCCAUGUACCUUAUCUAUACAGUUCCCUUACAAGGUUCCUGAUCUUGAGACAUUUGGCUUCACUUGAACCUGUGUUUGAAGCUUUAGUGAACAUUGUCUUUGGGAGUAAGAAGUACUAGAAAAUUUAUGUUCAUCUGCAUCUUGUCACUGGGACAUGAGCAUAGGUGGUCUACCUUCAGUUUGGUCUGUGAACAGGAGGAUUACUUGAGCUCAGGAGUUCUAGUCCAGCCUGGGCAACAGAGCAAGACCCUGUCUCAAAAAGAAAGAAAGAAAUGAGGAUAUGAGUUUGCUGCUCUUUAAAUCGAUGACUUUGCAGCUCUUCAUCUGAAGAGGUGGCGUCUGUUUCUCCUGUUUGAGUGUGGCACAUCCAGGAGAGUGGCUUUGAGCAGUGGUGUGGCAGACGUGACUGUAGGCCAGCCCUGAGCUGAGGCUGCCAGGGGACUGCACACUUCUUCUCUCAGCUCUGCCAGCUGCUGCACUGUGUCUGGGCCAGCCCGCUGGAGCACAGAGUUCAGUGCAUUGGGACAGCUACAGCCCAUUGCAUCGGGACAGCCCACAGCAACAAGACCCACCUGUCGCCACUGCAGGUGCGUGAGGGUGCCCGGCUGAGAGCAGACAAACCGCCUAGCAGGUGGCUUUUCAAGCGGAAUCACAGACUAGCUCCAUCGCUGUGGUGAACGUUCUCCCCAGUGCCAGGAUUCCACUUGGCCCCUGACUGCUUGAGCAGCCGAUGUGACAGCCAUCUCUCUGCUGCCGUGCAUGUCGGCUGGGCUGGAGCCAGUGCAUCAGGAAGUAGACGCAGAAGUGGAUCAGGAGCAAAACAUUCCUGAGAGCUGGCAGAAGCUGGCGUCUGGAGCCGCUGGGAUGCGGGUCUCAUGGAACAAGGAAAUCAAAAAAACACCCGCCCGUGCACAAAUGGAUUUCCUGAACCCUUCUGUGCGCCAGUCCUUGGGGACGCAAAUGUGAAUGAGGCGGCGCUCUGUUGAAUUUCCGUGCCCAAACUCACCAACGUGCACAGAUACUGAUGUGGGAACACCCGCUAUAAGGUGGCCUGGAGCAGUGAAGACCCUGCUCUCUUGUGAACUCCCGCAACCAUGGCCAGCCCCCUGGGGCUCCCAGACCUUGGCAAUCAGCCCUUGUGGUUUUUAAAAAAUUUAUUUUUAUUUUUAUUUUUAGAGGCAGGGUCUCAUUAUGUCACCCAGUGAUAUGGUCUGGCUGUGUCCCCACCCAAAUCUCAUCUUUUAUUUUUUUUUUUUUUGAGACGGAGUUUCGCUCUUGUUGCCCAGGCUGGAGUGCAGUGGUGCAAUCUCGGCUCACCGCAACCUCCACUUCCAGGGUUCAAGCGAUUCCCCUGCUUCAGCCUCCCGAGUAGCUGGGAUUAAGGGCGCAGACCACCAUGUCUGGAUAAUUUUUUUUGUAUUUUUAAUAGAGAUGGGGUUUCAUCAUGUUGGCCAGGCUGGUCUUGAACUCCUGACCUCAGGUGAUCCACCCACUUCGGCCUCCCAAAGUGCUGGGAUUAUAGGUGUGAGCCACCGUGCCCAGCCCCAAAUCUCAUCUUGAAUUGUACUCCCAUAAUUCCCACAUGUUGUGGGAGGGACCCAGUGGGAGAUAAUUGAAUCAUAGGGGUGGUUUCCCCUGUACUGUUCUUGUGGUAGUGAAUAAGUCUCAUGAGAUCUGAUGGUUUUAGAAGAGCUUUCCGCAUUCUCUCUUGCAGCUGCCGUGUGAGAUGUGCCUUCUGUCAUGAUUGUGAGGCCUCCCCAGUGAGCCCAUUAAACCUCUUUUUCUUCCCAGUCUUGAGUAUGUCUUUAUCUGAAGCAUGAAAACGGACUAAUAUACCCAGGUUGGAGUGCAGUGGCGCCAUCUUGACUUACUGCAGCCUUGACCUCCAGCUUUCAAACGAUCCUCCUCCCUUGGCCUCCCAAAGUGUUGGGGUCACAGGUGUGAACCACCAUGUCCAGCCAGCCCUUGGGUUUUGAGAUGCUCAAGUUACAGGUGAGAAGUGCUUUGUUUGUUCCGGAAUCUGUGUCCUGAGAGGGUUAAAGACAAGGGCUGGCCAGCCCCUAGAACCUGGCCGUGUCACCAGGGGAGCUGUGGAAGCAGGAGGGAAGCAGGAGGGAGGCAGCAGUUCUGUGCCGUGGGGCACCUUGGGCUUUUCUUUUUUCUUUCUAAUAGAGAAGCAACAUUUUGAAUAAAUCCACAAAAGCGUAGAAGAUCAUCUCAUCGGUUUCUGUGUGUGAAGUUUCAUGCUUAUCUAACUGCAUUUAGGAAAAUUCACGUGUACAUUUUUCCCAAGGGGAGCGAGAGGAUGUGAGCGUUCUACUUGUUCAUUUCAUAUCUGCUUUUACAAAUUCAUAGGGAGGGUGAGGAAGGAGCUGUGGUUCUCAUUGCGACUGAUGUUUGAUUAUUUGAUUCAGGAAUUUCACUUCUGGGAACUUGACUUAGGGAAAUGCUCUCAGAGACGCGUGCGAUGUUGUUUGUAACAAGCACAUGUGGAGAUGUCCCGGGCCCCUCAUGAGGCGGCUGCUUGUGUCCGUUUGUACCUCUUGCCAGCUGUGCAGUGUCGCUCAGCUCCCAGAAGGAGGGAGGCAGGUCCAGGCAUUGAUGGUUAGUUUUGUUUUUUUUUUUGAGAAGGAGUCUCCCUCUGUCACCCAGGCUGGAGAGCAGUGGCACGAUCUCAGCUCAACUGCAACCUCCACCUCUCAGGUUCAAGCGAUUCUCCUGCCUCAGCCUCUUGAGUAGCUGGGAUUACAGGCAUGCACCACCAUGCCUGGCUAAUUUUUGUAUUUUUAGUAGAGACAGGGUUUCGCUGUGUUGGCCAGGCUGGUCUCGAACUCCUGACCUCAAGUGAUCCACCCGCCUUGGCCUCCCAAAGUGCUGGGAUUACAGGCAUGAGCCACCGCGCCCAGCUGAUGAUUAGUUUUAUCCAUGUUCUUCCUGCUGCAGCUCACCCAGAGGCCCUGGUGGGGCAAGAACUUGGCUGGCCAGGGUUGGAGCAAAAACACCAGCCUUGGCUGUGGGUGAGGCAGGAGUGUGGCCGUGCAGGUGUGGCUUCCUCGCCGCAUCUCCAGGGCGCUUUCCCUGUCCUGUGAGCUCCUUGAGGGCCGAACCUGGGCCUGUCAGUUCUGGGCUACCUCCACUUCCCAGCAGGCCCUCAAGAAGGGUUCCCUAGAUGUGGUCUAUUCCCACGGGAGACUAUCAUUCAGCCGUCGAAAGGAAGGGAAUUCUGAUGCAGGCUAGACAGGAAUGAGGACAUUAGGCUGAGUCAAAGAGGCCAGUCACAGACGCACAAGUACGGUGACCUCCCCUUUGAUGAGGCCCUGGAGGAGUCAGAUUCACAGAGACAGAAAGCAGAAUGGUGGCACCGGGGCUGGGGGAUGGGGAACGGGGGCGGAGUGUUGAACGGGGACAGAGUUUGCUUUGCACGAUGAAGAGUUCUGUGGCUGGAUGUCAGGGAUGGUUGCACAAGACUGGAAUGUACUUGAUGCCACUGAACUGUGCACUUAAAAAUGGUCAUGAUGGUAAAUUUUACGUUAUACAUGUUUCACCAUAGUUCGAAAAAUACUUUAAAAAAAGCACCAUGUCCCUUGGAUUUAGUGAUACCGACCCCUCUUUGUCCCUCUGCUUCCCAGUGGUUUCUUCUUGCCCCUGGGAUUUGUAGGGAUGGGUUGCCCCUCCACACCUGUGGGUGUUUCUCGUAAGGUGGGACGAGAGAUUUGGAAAAGAAAAAGACACAGAGACAAAGUAUAGAGAAAGAAAUAAGGGGACCCGGGGAACCAGCGUUCAGCAUAUGGAGGAUCCCGCCAGCCUCUGAGUUCCCUUAGUAUUUAUUCAUCAUUUGUGGGUGUUUCUCGAAGAGGGGGAUGUGUCAGGGUCACAAGACAAUUGUGGGGAGAGGGUCAGCAGACAAACACGUGAACAAAGGUCUUUGCAUCAUAGACAAGGUAAAGGAUUAAGUGCUGUGCUUUUAGAUAUGCAUACACAUAAACAUCUCAAUGCUUUACAAAGCAGUAUUGCUGCCCGCAGGUCCCACCUCCAGCCCUAAGGCGGUUUUUCCCUAUCUCAGUAGAUGGAGCAUACAAUCGGGUUUUAUACCGAGACAUUCCAUUGCCCAGGGACGGGCAGGAGACAGAUGCCUUCCUCUUGUCUCAACUGCAAGAGGCGUUCCUUCCUCUUUUACUAAUCCUCCUCAGCACAGACCCUUUAUGGGUGUCGGGCUGGGGGACGGUCAGGUCUUUCCCUUCCCACGAGGCCAUAUCUCAGACUAUCACAUGGGGAGAAACCUUGGACAAUACCUGGCUUUCCUAGGCAGAGGUCCCUGCGGCCUUCCGCAGUUUUUGUGUCCCUGGGUACUUGAGAUUAGGGAGUGGUGAUGACUCUUAAGGAGCAUGCUGCCUUCAAGCAUCUGUUUAACAAAGCACAUCUGGCACCGCCCUUAAUCCAUUCAACUCUGAGUUGACACAGCACAUGUUUCAGAGAGCACGGGGUUGGGGGUAAGGUCACAGAAUCUCAAGGCAGAAGAAUUUUUCUUAGUACAUAACAAAAUGGAGUCUCCUAUGUCUACUUCUUUCUACACAGACACAGUAACAAUCUGAUCUUUCUUGCUUUUCCCCACAGGAUUUAACAACAAAUCCUAAUGCACGUGGGGGCCAGCGGCAGUGACUGUAGUCCCCUUGGCAGGCGAAGGCCUGUGAGUAGCCAGUGCUAUGUCUGGCAUUCUAGGCAGCUCCUGGCUCCCGGGCGGAUCCUCCUGUUGCCUGCUGGGCCAGCCUCAGGUCGGCCCUUCCAGCUCUGUAAAACUCAGAAGGCCUUUAGGGCAGGCACUGUGCCACUGACCCCCUCUCUGUGUCCCAGGGCCCGGUACAAUGAGAUGAUCAUGGAAUUAAACAGAACAGAACCAUGAGGUGUCCACCAGGCCAUGCCAGGAUGCACUGGCUUCACCUGUGAUUUUGGCACCAGUUUAAACAGUGUCACUUCAUUCUGUGCUUCUCCUGAUUAGUCUGCCUUCUGGCCGAUAUAUCCCUGGGAGGCAGGUGCAGACCCCUCUUGACUAUGUACUGUGUGCAGUUUUGGGGACAGAGCUCUUUAUGUGGCCAAGGUCUGGCUGGGCAAGGUGUCUCAUACCUGUAAUCCCAGCACUUUGGGAGGCUGAGGCCAGAGGACUGCUUGAGGCCAGGAGUUUGAGAACAGCCUGGGCAACAUAGCAAGACCCCAUCUCUACAAAAAAUAAAUAAAAAUUAGCCAAGUGCGCCUGUGGUCUAGCUACUCCAGAGGCUGAAAUGGGAGGAUCACUUGGGCCCAGGAGGUUAAGGCUGCAGUGAACUGUGAUAGCACCACUGCACUCCAGCCUGGGCAACAGAGUGAGACCCUGUCGCAAAAAAAAAAAAAAAAAAAAAAAAAAAAGGUCCUUUCCCAGGACGUCAGGACGAAUGUAUGGAGCAGCAGCAGGGGUCUCAACGAGUGCCGCGCCGUUUCCAGCCGUGCGCACGUCCCUGUGGCUGCCGCAAGGAACAGAACGACUUGGUCAUCUUGCAGUGGAAGUCAGAAGCCUGAAGUGGGUCCCGCUGGGCGAUAAUCAAAGUGCCAGCUGGCCUGCGUUGCUUCUGAAGCCUCUAGGAGAGAAUCCACCUCCUUGCCUCUUCCAGCUUUUAGAGGCCGCCCUGUUCUGUCAUAACUCAAGGCCCUGCAUAUGGCACAGGUGUGACUGUUCGCGCCCGCAGCUCCUUCACCAACCCUCCUGCCACCCUCCUUCCCUGCUUUCCUGUAAGGACCCCUGUGGUGACGUCAGGGCCACCUGGGUAUCCAGAAGCAUCUCCCCAGCUCGUGAUCCCUCACUUAAUCCCAUCUCCAGCUGCCUUUUGCAGAGUAAUGUGCACAUUCAUGGGUGCUGGGGACGGGGACAUGGACAUCUUGGGGUCGGGGUCAUUAUUCUGCCCACCACAGCCAACAAUUACAAUCAAUGGGGAUGAGAACUGGAAAUGGUCCUGUAUGAUUCUCUUGCUGCCAGGCUUGAGAGCCAGCCAGGAGCACGCUGGGGGCCGAGCGUGGGAACGUGCCACAUGUGACGGUGCUCCCACGGCUCAGCGCUGCUUCCAGACACAGUCCUACUAGUUGGAGCCUAUUUUGGCCACAGCUCUCACCUGCGUUUUGGUGGUGGGAGGGGUGUUUCUGGGUUCCAGGUGAAGUUGGUUACACCUCCUGGGUGUUCAGGCAUCAAUGUUCACCUUCAUCAAACGUUUAAAAAAUUGUGGUUAGGCUGGGUGCAGAGGUCCAUGCCUGUAAUCCCAGCACUUCGAGAGGCUAAGGGGGGGUGGAUCGCUUGAGGUCAGGAGUUUGAGACCAGCCUGGGCAACAUGGCAAAACUACAUCUCUACCAAAAAUACAAAAAUUAGCUGGGUGUGGUGGCGCGUGCCUGUAAUCCCAGCACUUUGGGAAGCCAAGGCAGGUGGAUCACCUGAGGUCAGGAGUUUGAGAACAGCCUAGGCAACAUGGCAAAACCCUGUCUCUACUAAAAAUACAAAAAUUAGCUGGGCGUGUUGGCACACGCCUGUAGUCCCAGCUACUUGGGAGGCUGAGGCAGGAGAAUUGCUUGAACCUGGGAGGCAGAGGUUGCAGUAAACCGAGACAGUGCCACUGCACUCCAGCCUGGGUGACAGAGUGAAACUCCGUCUCAAAAUAAAUAAAUAAAUAAAUUAGCUGGGCAUGGUGGUGCACGUCUGUAAUCCUAGCUACUCAGGAGGCUGAGGUGGAAGAAUUGCUGGAAUCUGGGAGGCGGAGGUUGCAGUGAGCUGCGAUCACACCACUGCACUCCAGCUUGGGCAACAGAGUGAAACUCUGUCUCAAAAAAAAAAAGUGGUUAAAUAUAUGUAACAUAAAGGUUGCCAUUUUAACCAUUUCCAAGUGUACAGUUCUGUGGCAUUAAGUACAUUCACACCGUUUGCGACCAUCACCGCCACGUCACGGUCAGUUUAUGUUAUCUUGAUUAGGUGCCAGUCCCCAGGGACUCAAACAUGAGGCAAAGUGUUGCUGUGAAGGUGUUUUGUGCGUGCGAUUAACAUCUACAAUCCGUCCACCUUGAGUAAAGGAGGUGAUCCUGAAUGACAUGGGUGGGCCUUGUUCAAACAGUCAAAGGCCUGAAGAGCAAAAAUGAGGUUUCCUGAGAAGAAGAAAUUCUGCCUCAAAACUGCAACUCCAAUUCCUUCCUGAGUUUUCAGCCUGCUGGCUCAUCUAUCAAUGUUGGAUUUGCCAGCCACCACUAUUGAUAUCGAUAUCUAUAUGUAUUUCUUAAUAUCUAUAUUUAUAUAUCUUAUUGGCUCUGUUCCUCCCUGCCUGUCACACAGUCUGUCUGCUUGCCAGUCUCUCCUAUGGGAAUGUAGCCCCCUGAAGUCAGGAACUGUCUUUUUUAUAGCUGUAUCCAGUCAGCUAGUGUGGCACACAGUAGGUGCUUAAUAAAAACAUAGCUACUUUCUAA